rnacentral:rRNA from 1 species
AACGAACGCUGGCGGCAGGCCUAACACAUGCAAGUCGAGCGAGAUCUUCGGGUCUAGCGGCGGACGGGUGAGUAACGCGUGGGAAUAUGCCUCUUGGUACGGAAUAGCCUCGGGAAACUGGGAGUAAUACCGUAUGUGCCCUUUGGGGGAAAGAUUUAUCGCCAAGAGAUUAGCCCGCGUUGGAUUAGGUAGUUGGUGGGGUAAUGGCCUACCAAGCCGACGAUCCAUAGCUGGUUUGAGAGGAUGAUCAGCCACACUGGGACUGAGACACGGCCCAGAAUCCUACGGGAGGCAGCAGUGGGGAAUCUUAGACAAUGGGGGCAACCCUGAUCUAGCCAUGCCGGGUGAGUGAUGAAGGCCUUAGGGUUGUAAAGCUCUUUCAGCUGGGAAGAUAAUGACGGUACCAGCAGAAGAAGCCCCGGCUAACUCCGUG